UACGGAAGGCAGCAGUGGGGAAUAUUGCACAAUGGGCGAAAGCCUGAUGCAGCUAUGCCGCGUGUAUGAAGAAGGCCUUAGGGUUGUAAAGUACUUUCAUCGGGGAGGAAAAACAAAACUAAUAAUUUUAUUUCUUGACGUUACCCGAAAAAGAAGCACCGGCUAACUCCGUGCCAGCAGCCGCGGUAAUACGGAGGGUGCUAGCGUUAAUCAGAAUUACUGGGCGUAAAGAGCACGUAGGUGGUUUUUUUAAGUCAGAUGUGAAAUCCCUGGGCUUAACCUAGGAACUGCAUUUUGAAACUGAAAUACUAGAGUAUCGUAGAGGGAGGUAGAAUUCUAGGUGUAGCGGUGAAAUGCGUAGAUAUCUGGAGGAAUACCUGUGGCGAAAGCGGCCUCCUAAACGAAUACUGACACUGAGGUGCGAAAAGCGUGGGGGAGCAAAACAGGGAUUAAGAUACC
rnacentral:rRNA from 1 species